GACGAACGCUGGCGGCGUGCUUAACACAUGCAAGUCGAACGGUGAAGCGCCUUCCUUUUUGGUGGGUGUGGAUGAGUGGCGAACGGGUGAGUAACACGUGAGUAACCUGCCCCCUUCUUCUGGAUAACCGCAUGAAAGUGUGGCUAAUACGGGAUAUUCUGGGUCUGUCGCAUGAUGGGUCUGGGAAAGAUAUUGUUUCGGUGGGGGAUGGGCUCGCGGCCUAUCAGCUUGUUGGUGGGGUGAUGGCCUACCAAGGCGGUGACGGGUAGCCGGCCUGAGAGGGUGGACGGUCACACGGGGACUGAGACACGGCCCAGACUCCUACGGGAGGCAGCAGCGGGGAAUAUUGCACAAUGGGCGCAAGCCUGAUGCAGCGACGCCGCGUGAGGGAUGGAGGCCUUCGGGUUGUGAACCUCUUUCGCCAGUGAAGCAGGCCUGCCUCGUUUGUGGGUGGGUUGACGGUAGCUGGAUAAGAAGCGCCGGCUAACUACGUG
rnacentral:rRNA from 1 species